rnacentral:rRNA from 1 species
CUACAGGCUUAACACAUGCAAGUCGAGGGGCAGCAUCAUUAAAGCUUGCUUUGAUGGAUGGCGACCGGCGCACGGGUGAGUAACACGUAUCCAACCUGCCGACAACACUGGGAUAGCCUUUCGAAAGAAAGAUUAAUACCGGAUGGCAUAGUCUUCCCGCAUGGGAUGACUAUUAAAGAAUUUCGGUUGUCGAUGGGGAUGCGUUCCAUUAGGCAGUUGGCGGGGUAACGGCCCACCAAACCAACGAUGGAUAGGGGUUCUGAGAGGAAGGUCCCCCACAUUGGAACUGAGACACGGUCCAAACUCCUACGGGAGGCAGCAGUGAGGAAUAUUGGUCAAUGGGCGAGAGCCUGAACCAGCCAAGUAGCGUGAAGGAUGAAGGCUCUAUGGGUCGUAAACUUCUUUUAUAUGGGAAUAAAGUUUUCCACGUGUGGAAUUUUGUAUGUACCAUAUGAAUAAGGAUCGGCUAACUCCGUGCCAGCAGCCGCGGUAAUACGGAGGAUCCGAGCGUUAUCCGGAUUUAUUGGGUUUAAAGGGAGCGUAGGUGGAUUGUUAAGUCAGUUGUGAAAGUUUGCGGCUCAACCGUAAAAUUGCAGUUGAAACUGGCAGUCUUGAGUACAGUAGAGGUGGGCGGAAUUCGUGGUGUAGCGGUGAAAUGCUUAGAUAUCACGAAGAACUCCGAUUGCGAAGGCAGCUCACUAGACUGUCACUGACACUGAUGCUCGAAAGUGUGGGUAUCAAACAGGAUUAGAUACCCUGGUAGUCCACACAGUAAACGAUGAAUACUCGCUGUUUGCGAUAUACAGUAAGCGGCCAAGCGAAAGCAUUAAGUAUUCCACCUGGGGAGUACGCCGGCAACGGUGAAACUCAAAGGAAUUGACGGGGGCCCGCACAAGCGGAGGAACAUGUGGUUUAAUUCGAUGAUACGCGAGGAACCUUACCCGGGCUUAAAUUGCAACAGAAUAUAUUGGAAACAGUAUAGCCGUAAGGCUGUUGUGAAGGUGCUGCAUGGUUGUCGUCAGCUCGUGCCGUGAGGUGUUGGCUUAAGUGCCAUAACGAGCGCAACCCUUAUCUUUAGUUACUAACAGGUCAUGCUGAGGACUCUAGAGAGACUGCCGUCGUAAGAUGUGAGGAAGGUGGGGAUGACGUCAAAUCAGCACGGCCCUUACGUCCGGGGCUACACACGUGUUACAAUGGGGGGUACAGAAGGCGGCUACCUGGUGACAGGAUGCUAAUCCCAAAAACCUCUCUCAGUUCGGAUCGAAGUCUGCAACCCGACUUCGUGAAGCUGGAUUCGCUAGUAAUCGCGCAUCAGCCAUGGCGCGGUGAAUACGUUCCCGGGCCUUGUACACACCGCCCGUCAAGCCAUGAAAGCCGGGGGUACCUGAAGUACGUAACCGCAAGGAGCGUCCUAGGGUAAAACUGGUAAUUGGGGCUAAGUCAUAAC